UUAUCGAGGGUUUUACUCUUCAAAAUUAUUACGAAUACUCUGAUAUAUUCGAUUGGAAAACGUUUCUGAAAUUCGCAAGAGGCGUGAAGAAUCGCAACAUUAUGAAAUAGCGAAAAACAGAGCACUGACUCUUGUACAACAGUGAACUUACGUGUACAACUUAUCCUCUGCAUUCUUCAUAUUUAUAAAAUACUGAUGCUGACUAGAAUUAGCCACGACAGUGUAAUUGAUUCUAGAUUGUCUGGCUAAUUGUUCCAAGGAUUGCACAGGAGACUGAAACAAUACACGAUAUAUUGAGAAUAUUAGUCCUCAUUUUCAAGAUCGAAAGUAAGGAAAGCAGCUAAAUUAGCAGUGAAUGUAGCCAACAUUAAAACAACGAAUAACCAAUAAGCAGCAACCAGUAUCCUGCUUGAUAAUGCUUUGGGUGCCUCGCCGCCACCUUGGGGUGUGAAAGACGUCAAGGCGAACCAGAAACUCUCCUUCAACGUGAAUUCUCUAAACACAGAAUAUAAUUAACAUAAUCAUUAUUGAUUAAGUAAUUGCUUUGUCUUUAUGACAAUCAUUAACGAUAAGAUAUAGUGGUCAUUAAGGGUGAUUUAUAGUAAUCUUGAUCUAAUUCCAGCAAAUGAAAGAUAUUGACGCGAGCAUUACUAUAAUAAUAAUAAUAAUAAUAAUAAUAAUUGAUCUAAAUUUCCACUGAUGAGACUUUGAUAAUUUUUAUAAUAAUUUUUAAUGAUUAAAAUUUUAGAAAUUUUAAAGUUAUUACCGACAAGGAUACGGAUACAGUUGUUUAUUAUUCCUGGCGCUAUAAGGAGAAUAUUUGUCAAGUAUCCAAAUCAUGAUGCCGGUUAAUGUUAAAGCUCCUACGAUGCUUAACCACACUUCGACUUUGAGUACCGUCAUAAAUUUGAAAAGGGAUGGUUUGCGGACAGGUUUCCUCAUUACUUAUAGUAAAAAAUUAGAAAAAAAAAUCGUAUAAUGUAAAAGUUUGUUGAUAUUUAAAUUAAAAAUAAUUAUAUUAUUUACCAAUUAAUAAGCCGGAUUGUUCGAAAUAAGGGGCGACGAAAUCUAUCACUUCCUCGCGUUCUGAAGUCAUUGUCAAUGCAGCAACUAUGAUAUCUGUCUCCUAAAAAAAAAUAAUUAAAAAAAAAAAGAAAGUAAAACGUAAUAAAAAAAUAAAAUAAAGAAAUAUAAAGAAAUGAAUUCAUAAAAGAAGAAUAUUAACUUGACAAAAUUGAUUUGGAAAAAUUGAAGAAGAUGAUGUUUUAACUACUAAGAGGUAUGCAAGGUUGCAGAGUUAUAGGCGCCAUCGAGUUCAAUAUAUUAAGAAAAUUUUGAUAUUUCUUUAAUAAGAUGAAAAAAAAAAAAAAUAAAAGUAAAAUGUGAUAAAUAAAAAAUAAUAAUAUUAAGAAUUUGAUAGAAAGUUUAUGAAAAUAAUGUAUAAUUAUACAAGAAGAUUUGCAUGAUUGGAUGCAGAUUCACAGAUGCCAUGAAAUUCAGUGUACAAAUCUUACUCCUUUAGCUAGAUCACCAAUCAAACCAUUCCAUUGUCCAUUAGGUAAUUUCUUGCCAAACUGUCGAUCUUGAGGUACGACAAGAUCAUAAUCAAAUUGCAUCUCCUCCGAUAAUUUCUUCACAAAAUCUAUGCAAUAUCCAUCCCACAUAUCAUUUCCAUUCUCAUUUUUCAUAACUUUUCCAGUCGCUGGAUCGAUUUUAGGUAUUAUCCAAGGCACUGACUAAUACAAUUUUAAUACCUGUAUUAAUUAAUUAACGUUUACAAAUUCACAAUGAAAUUAAAUGAAAUUUGUUUAUUAAUUACAGGAGUAAUUCCAAUUCGAAAGAAUCUUUUAGCGGCUUUAUACGUGAUCAUUCCUUUCUCCGACCAAUACUCAAAUGUAUCGUUGCCUCCUAGUUUCUGUGGCAAAUUGAAUGUUUUCUUCAAUUUCCAACGAUCUUUAUUUUGCACAAUUUUAAACUGGUGACUUACGGCAAGUAUAUUCUUGUUAAACGCCUCAAUCGUGACAUUUGAACUUUGAUUCUUGUUUGAAAAGCAUUUGCCACUUUUUGGCUCCACGCUAAUACCUGAUGCCUGAAGUUCGCUCAUCAGACUCACGAUGAGGCCUACUAAUCGUUUAAAAUAAUUCGAAAAUAUCUACAGAACCAUCGCAAGAUUAAACAAAAUUAUUCUAAUUAUCAAAGAGACUAUGCAAAACUAUAGAAAAACUCUCAAGUACUUUAAUAUCUGAAGGACAGUUGCAAAGGGAUUCACCAAUCAAUUUACAACAAACGUCCAUCUUCAUCCAUAGAACCGUGAUGGAAACGUUCAACUGACCAGAGAUUGACCGAGUCGGCGCAGGAGAUGCGGAAGGUUUCAAGUCAGACAGGUUCGUCACGUGAAUAAUUCAACAAUAGUACAGCAACCUUUCCGUAUCGAUGUAUCGAUGAACCAAUCAAAAUUUCAUGCCAUCGUGCAAUCAAUGUUUAACUCGUGUAUUUAAUUUCGUAUCACCGUGCAAUAUUGUACGAAGAAAAGAAAAAUAAUAAAUCUUCUAAAGCGACUUCGAAUCAUGUGUUAUCUAUUUAUAAAAAAAUCGUUCUGUGACAAAUGAUACGAAAGAAAAAUAAUAAAUUCUGAACAAUACAAACGGACGAUCAAUCAUCAUCGUACCAAGGAAUUAUCUAAAGAAGUUUUCAAUCAUCAUCUAUUUAGCAAAGCAAAAUCAAGAAUUUAUAUAAUAUAUAAUAUAUAAAAAUUAAAUGCAUCCCAAAAGCAGAACCUAAAAGCGUGAAAAAGAGAACAAAAUCAAAAACUUACACAUGUUCAUGGGUACUUGAGAAAUGGAAACACCAAGAAAUGUAAGCAGCAAUGCACACACUGCAACUAGAGUCGUGGACAUGGCUGAGGAGAAUGGAGUCGGUACCGGAUGGACGAACGCCUUCCGCGGAAACAGGUAGACAAGCCUGAGGACACUGUCGACAACGAUAACCACGCCUGCGCCCGCCAGCUCCCUUAUGAAUAUUACACCCUCGUCCAUCAAAGUAUAGUCCUUGUUCCCCGCUAAAUGCAUUUUGAUUAUGUUGAGGCACGAUGUCACAUCUUGACACGGGUCCCUUCCAUCUUGGCCAUCGAUUUAUCGCUGACGUCUGCCAAGGAUUACCAACCUGAGUCGAUGGUUGCAACUUGCGAAUAGAUUUUGCGAAUAAGUUGGUUGGAUCGUUGGAGGAUGCUGAAAGAGAACACCAUUUGUACUUAGUGGAAUUGGAUUGAAGAAAAGUUUACAAAAGUUGCAUAAAAGUUGUUCGAGAAUGCUUAUUAAAUAUAAAAGUUAUAUCAAGUUUUAUUAAGGGAAAAUUUCGUUGCACGUAUUAAAUUUAAGAAAUAUAUUUAAAGCAAUUUUUUAACGAUAAUGUAAAUAUAUUUUUAUUUAUCUUAAUUACGAAACAAAGUCUCGAUCUUGGUGGUGAAUUAUAUCUUAUAAUAUUUCACGUUUAAUUACA